rnacentral:rRNA from 1 species
CGACCCGGGCAACAUCGUCAAACUGCGGGAAAGCCCUGCCACGACUCUCGGGACCUCACCGCCCCAGCAAUGGAAGCGGGUGCCUGCGGCCAACGGCCGCGGGUACGGUAAAGCACCGAAGUCUAGGGGCGAUCCGCCGCCAAACCCUCCCCGCACCGGGAGGGCCCAGCUCACAGGCCAGACGGCGAUGGGCGCUCUCGCGCUUAAGAUAUGGUCGAGUGACUCGCCGAGAGGCGGGUGCAACUCAGGAACGUCCGUAGGUGAACCUGCGGAAGGAUCAUU